ensembl:lncRNA novel transcript
AGCCCUGUCUUAACAAGCCUCGGAGUAGCUCCGAUUCUCUCUAUGGACUGGGAACCAGUGCUGCGGCUUCAGGGAGAAAUUCAGCCACACUGAGACCAGCACCUUACUCAAAUUUCACUCCUUCUGGGCUGGUCCAGGAGACCCCAGCUUGGGACAGGGCCUGUGGCCCCUCCAGCAGCACGCACUGUGCCCACCCGCCACUGGUGAGGAGAUUCCAGGAGAAACACUGCCACCCAAGCAGCACCCCACAUGGCUGGCCUCCCCGCACCGGGCCGGCACCCCACAGUGCCAGUCACCCACCCCACUUGGCUGGCCUCUCUACACCGGGCCGGCACCCCACAGCGCCAGUCACCCACCCCACGCGGCUGGUCUCCCCGCACCGGGCUGGCACCCUGCAACGCCAGUCACCCACCCCACGCAGCUGGCAUCCCCGCACCGGGCCGGCAUCCCACAACGCCAGUCACCCACCCCACGCGGCUGGCCUCCCUGCACCGGGCUGGCACCCCGCAACGCCAGUCACCCACCCCACGAAGCUGGCCUCCCCGCACCGGUGCCAGCACCCCGCCGCGCCAGUCACCCAGAGUCCUCCUGCCCCAGGAAUGAAACCAUCCUCAGGCCGGGCGCUGUGUCCUCAGUGGUGGUGUCUAGGGAUGGGGUACACAGCCCAGCCUCUGCCCAGGGCUCGGAAGCCCUUGGCCAAAUCCCGGCUACUCCCUGCUCCGGCAGGCUGAGCGAUGCCCGUGCAUGCUGAGCCAACCAACCAACAAAUGUCCCUGCCUUGUGUGCCGUGUGCAUGCCGGGGCGGACGGCCUGCUUGCUAUGGAUGUGGGGCUCCCUGCAACCCCAUGAGGCCCUGCAGCAGCCUGGCUGUGUCCCCGCACCCCUGUGUGUUGGCAGAGGUCAACACCACCGGACCCCUCCACGCUGGCCCCCUGCCUCUCCAUUCCCGCUUCCUCCCUGUGAACGUGCUGUCAUACCGACCCCUCCACACUGGCCCCCUGCCUCUCCAUCCCCGCUUCCUCCCUGUGAACGUGCUGUCAUUCCGACCCCUCCACACUGGCCCCCUGCCUCUCCAUCCCCGCUUCCUCCCUGUGAAUGUGCUGUCAUUCCCGCUUCCUCCCUGUGAACGUGCUGUGCCCUAAAGCCACGCUUCCUCCAAAGGCUGCACUCCAUCCGCCCAGGUGAUAAGAGUCGCUCAGACACUGUUGCUUAUACGGCCGCACACACAUCUCUAGCUGGUUUCUUGUUCCAAUAAUACUGGUAUUUUUUAAAAGCAAAUUUGAUUCCUUGAUCCA